rfam:Streptomyces agglomeratus strain 6-3-2 1, whole genome shotgun sequence.
CUUCAGCGAGCCCAGCCACAACGGCCGUUCCUCCGAACGCUCCUGACCGUACGUGGCGAUCAGCGCCUGCGCCUC